GUCGAGCGAACAGAUGAGAAGCUUGCUUCUCUGAUGUUACCGGCGCACGGGUGAGUAACACGUGGGUAACCUACCUAUAAGACUGGGAUAACUCCGGGAAACCGGGGCUAAUACCGGAUAAUAUUUUGAACCGCAUGGUUCAAUAGUGAAAGACGGUUUCGGCUGUCACUUAUAGAUGGACCCGCGCCGUAUUAGCUAGUUGGUAAGGUAACGGCUUACCAAGGCGACGAUACGUAGCCGACCUGAGAGGGUGAUCGGCCACACUGGAACUGAGACACGGUCCAGACUCCUACGGGAGGCAGCAGUAGGGAAUCUUCCGCAAUGGGCGAAAGCCUGACGGAGCAACGCCGCGUGAGUGAUGAAGGUCUUCGGAUCGUAAAACUCUGUUGUUAGGGAAGAACAAAUUUGUUAGUAACUGAACAAGUCUUGACGGUACCUAACCAGAAAGCCACGGCUAACUACGUGCCAGCAGCCGCGGUAAUACGUAGGUGGCAAGCGUUAUCCGGAAUUAUUGGGCGUAAAGCGCGCGUAGGCGGUUUCUUAAGUCUGAUGUGAAAGCCCACGGCUCAACCGUGGAGGGUCAUUGGAAACUGGGAAACUUGAGUGCAGAAGAGAGAGUGGAAUUCCAUGUGUAGCGGUGAAAUGCGCAGAGAUAUGGAGGAACACCAGUGGCGAAGGCGGCUCUCUGGUCUGUAACUGACGCUGAUGUGCGAAAGCGUGGGGAUCAAACAGGUUUAGAUACCCUGGUAGUCCACGCCGUAAACGAUGAGUGCUAAGUGUUAGGGGGUUUCCGCCCCUUAGUGCUGCAGCUAACGCAUUAAGCACUCCCCCUGGGGAGUACGACCGCAAGGUUGAAACUCAAAGGAAUUGACGGGGACCCGCACAAGCGGUGGAGCAUGUGGUUUAAUUCGAAGCAACCCGAAGAACCUUACCAAAUCUUGACAUCCUUUGACCGCUCUAGAGAUAGAGUCUUCCCCUUCGGGGGACAAAGUGACAGGUGGUGCAUGGUUGUCGUCAGCUCGUGUCGUGAGAUGUUGGGUUAAGUCCCGCAACGAGCGCAACCCUUAAGCUUAGUUGCCAUCAUUAAGUUGGGCACUCUAGGUUGACUGCCGGUGACAAACCGGAGGAAGGUGGGGAUGACGUCAAAUCAUCAUGCCCCUUAUGAUUUGGGCUACACACGUGCUACAAUGGAUAAUACAAAGGGCAGCGAAUCCGCGAGGCCAAGCAAAUCCCAUAAAAUUAUUCUCAGUUCGGAUUGUAGUCUGCAACUCGACUACAUGAAGCUGGAAUCGCUAGUAAUCGUAGAUCAGCAUGCUACGGUGAAUACGUUCCCGGGUCUUGUACACACCGCCCGUCACACCACGAGAGUUUGUAACACCCGAAGCCGGUGGAGUAACCUUUUAGGAGCUAGCCGUCGAAGGUGGGACAAAUGAUUGGGGUGAAGUCG
rnacentral:rRNA from 1 species